UGGCACUUGCACUUAGGGAUUGCAAGCGGUGGCGCAAGAGCCAUAGUGAGGAAAAUAUGAACGGGUAGAAUGGCUCGGGUGAAAUGGAAGGGAUGAAUUCCUCCAUUAUUUAUAACCACGGCACAGUUAACCGAGAAGCAAAAUUAACACGGAAUAUUCCAUUUUUAAAAGCCCUCAGUUAUCGCUGGACGGUUUCCAAAUUUUCUGGAAGAGAUAAGGUUAAUGUUGGCAAACGGUUACGUUGACUAAUGGUUGACCCUUAUACCCAAACUAGUCGAAUAAUGGCUUGGGGGCUGUGUGCCACGUGCCUGUCGGCUAAAAAGUUUUUUCUUUGGGUAAAAGAGAUAUGAAAUUACAAGAUUGACCCUCAACAUGAUUCUUCGAUUCAACCUAAGGCUUGGGGGCUACUCCAUAUGGAGUGCGAUUUUCAUUGAAAUUCCAUAUAAGAUUCAAGAUCAAGU
rnacentral:lncRNA from 1 species